rnacentral:lncRNA from 13 species
GUCUCACAAAAGUAGUGCAUUGGACCCUUAAUAGUCCUCUAUUAGCGGAUAUCUCUCUCUGCAGCUCCAGCGUGGACACAUAUUUGCCCAGCCUCCAUCUGUCUUCCUCUCUCGCAAUCUCUCCCUGGACUGUCGGUCCUCCUCUUCCUCCCUCUCUGGACUGUCAGUCCUCCUCUUCCUCUCUCCCUGGACUGUCGGUCCUCCUAUUCCUCCCUCUCUGGACUGUUGGUCCUCCUCUUCCUCCCUCUCUGGACUGUCUGUCCUCCUCUUCCUCCCUCCCUGGACUAUCAGUCCUCUUCUGCCUCUAUCCCUGGACUGUCUGUCCUCCUCUUCCUCCCUCCCUGGAAUGUCGGUCCUCCUCUUCCUCUCUCCCUGGACUGUCGGUCCUCCUCUUCCUCCCUCUCUGGACUGUUGCUCCUCUGUCUUUUGCUCUUUCUGUCUCUCCUAGCAGGAAACCACACUCUUCCUCAGUUUCUGUCUCUCCUAGCAGGAAACCCCACUCUUCCUCCACUGGACCCCCAGCCUCCACUUUAGCUUUCUCCUCGUCCUCCACUCUUCCGGUCUCCUCUGUCGGUUUAGCCGUAGGAGGAGGUCGUGGGCAGACUUCACCGCUGACACUAUGUUGGAAAAACAGCUCACAGUCCUCCCUCCAGCAUUUGAUGUUGAUGUUGUACCCAGCUGCCUUCAUCUCCUUCUGCUUACUGCUGGCACAUUGGUAUGAUGUUACAAUGCCCAUUUUAGAGAGUCUUUUGAAAAUGGGCUUAACCCCCCCUUGGGUCAGUGUUGAGUUGAUGACAUAGGCCAGUGCAGAAAGCCUGGGGUUUCUACCUCUCAGGGCCACAGAGGCAGCCACACAGUUAUGGAUGGUGGAACCACCUGUUGCAGUAUUGAUGGUGGUAUAAAGCCAUGGUGUCUUCCUGGACAACUCAUUAUCCAACGCUUCGUAUGAAAAAUACUUCAUUUUCUCCAACGAGGUACUACUCAAGAUGCACGGUUCAAAAACAUUAGGGAGGCUUGCAUAUGCCUUGACCUCCACUUGGAUUUUGUUUACAAUUUGCUUUCUGAUUUCUUGGGAUAUGUUCUCAUUUGUCAAGGCUAAUUUUGCAAAAGUCACCAUAUUGCCCAUAGCCAAGUUUUCAAUCAUGCCUGAAAAUUCUGAAGCAAUUACCUUCCUCUUCUGUUUCCACGUCCUUCCCUUGUUGUCAGGGGAACCGACUCCUGGUUUUGGAUGACUCAAUUUUGGGUUGUAUGUAAUGACAACCUGCAGAAUAAUAAGGAUCAGACAUUAGAUCUAUAUUAUGAAAAUAAACAUCUAAUGUCGGGGGCUAGGUGUUGCAUGUAUCGUGUCGGGGGCUAGGUGUUGCAUGUCUCGUGUGGGGGCUAGGUGUUGCAUGUCUAGUG